rnacentral:rRNA from 1 species
UACGUAGGGGCAAGCGUUGUCCGGAAUUACUGGGCGUAAAGGGUGCGUAGGUGGUUUCUUAAGUCAGAGGUGAAAGGCUACGGCUCAACCGUAGUAAGCCUUUGAAACUGGGAAACUUGAGUGCAGGAGAGGAGAGUGGAAUUCCUAGUGUAGCGGUGAAAUGCGUAGAUAUUAGGAGGAACACCAGUUGCGAAGGCGGCUCUCUGGACUGUAACUGACACUGAGGCACGAAAGCGUGGGGAGCAAACAGGAUUAGAUACCCUGGUAGUCCCUGAG